rnacentral:rRNA from 1 species
CUAUGCGCCUUGCCAGCCCGCUCAGUCAGUAGUUUGAUCCUGGCUCGAGGACGAACGCUGGCGGCGUGCUUAACACAUGCAAGUCGAGCGAGGCCUCUCCUUCGGGAGGGUGUCCUAGCGGCGAACGGGUGAGUAACACGUGGGCAACCUGCCCUCAGCUCUGGGAUAACUCCAAGAAAUUGGGGCUAAUACCGGAUACGACCGCUGACCGCAUGGUCUGGUGGUGGAAAGAUUUAUCGGCGUGGGGAUGGGCCCGCGGCCUAUCAGCUUGUUGGUGGGUAGUGGCCUACCAAGGCGACGACGGGUAGCCGGCCUGAGAGGGUGACCGGCCACACUGGGGACUGAGACACGGCCCAG